UACAGAGGUCCCAAGCGUUACUGAGAUUCACUGGGUUUAAAGGGUGCGUAGGUGGCGCGUUAAGUCAGUUGUGAAAUCCCCGGGCUCAACCCGGGAAUAGCUUCUGAUACUGGCGUGCUUGAGGCCGGUAGAGGUUACUGGAACGGACGGUGGAGCGGUGAAAUGCGUAGAUAUCGUCUGGAACGCCAGUGGUGAAGACGGGUAACUGGACCGGUUCUGACACUGAGGCACGAAAGCGUGGGGAGCGAACGGG
rnacentral:rRNA from 1 species